rnacentral:lncRNA from 1 species
CCAAUAAUACAAUUCGUUUACAGUUUCAAAGUACUACAUCCCCAAAAUAUAUACCAAACUAUCCAUAUAUACAUCUCAAAUUCACUUUUCAAUAUAAAUUACUACUAUAUUGAAUUGUGAAUUUGAUUACAUCCACAAAAUAAACCAAACUAUCCAUAAAAUUAAGCUAGUACUGAGACCUGAGUAUAGUACUUUGGUAAGAUCUGAGUACAGUACUCUUGGCCAUCACUGUCAUUGUCACUCUUGGCC